CCACCUUUGCCAACACUCUGGCCUUUGUCAUUAUUCCAGGAUAAUGUGCCUAUUUUGAUGCAAAGAAGAUUGAAACACCCCUGACACUCUACUCACCACGGCAUUCUUGACAACUUUGAUGGUUGCAGUGGUCCAUUCCAUUUUGUGUCUACAG
rfam:Capronia semiimmersa strain CBS 27337 unplaced genomic scaffold supercont1.3, whole genome shotgun sequence.